GCGAAAAGGGCGAAGAAGGGGAGCCGAGCUGAAGCGACCGGCUCGGAGAACUUCCCAGGUCCCACGAACGCCGAGCCGGGGCGGAGGAGACGCAGCGAGGAGUUACCACGCCGGGCACGGAAGGAGAGCUCACUCACUCACCCAUCCAGGCCAGCCGAGAGAGUCCGGGGAGGCGCUUCAUCCCAGCCCCACGGCCAGAAAUUUUCUUUCUCCCCCCCCCCCUUCUAUUUAAGGUGCGGGGGGGGACACUCCAGUCCAGCCCUUGCAGCCCAAACUUGCGGGCGGGAGGUUGGGGGUGGAGAUCUGAAGAGAUCCCCAGCAGGCAAAAAGAAAAGCUGGCUGUCUAGAUCGUGUCGCUGGAAGAAUCGGGCCCGGAGAAGUUGCCUUCCUGAUUUCCUGCCUGGCUUUCUCCGGCAGAGAAGCCACCCAACCAAGCCCCCACAAGCAGAUCUUGGGAGUCCCGUACGAUUUGUUUUUUUUUUUUUUAAAGAAGCCCAGCUUCCGAUAACGUGAGAGUGCUGCGUGCGUGUUGUGUGCGUGUGUGUGUUGGGCGGGGGGGAUAAUUGAGAGAGAUCCGGUCCCAGCUUGCCAGAUCGAAAAGGAUCCAGCGAGAGGAGGAUCCAGAGUGGGUGAGAGCCGAGGGCAAGGGAGGACAAGAAAGAAAGAAAGAAAGAAAGAAAGAAAGAAAGAAAGAAAAGCAAACCCACCCAGGGAUCGAACCAUCAACCCAGCACAGCAGCCCCAAACUCCAGCGAUCAACUUCUCUCCCUCUUUCUCGGACACUCUUUCUCAGCCUCGCUUUCCUUCUUCCUUCCAUCCCCCCCUCCCUACCCUGAAGGGACCGCCCAAGCAUGUGGAAUCGGAGAGAAACAACAAACACCUUCGUCUAGCAAGAGAGACACUUCCCUAAAGAAGCAAGCAAACAAGCAAGCAAGCAAGCAAGCAAGCAAACAAACAAACAAACAAACCCAAAACUCCAUUCCACAGAAACACGCAAAGUUGAAGAAACUUUGGAACCGAUUUGUAAAAUUAUGGCGGGGCGGGGGGACGCAUUGGGGUUCGACGACCUGAAAGAACAUAUACCCCCGACUCCGCUCCAUCCUGAAAAUAAGAAUCUGAAUUUUUUUGGCAGUUAGAGAGAGAGAACCUUGAUCCCCUCUGAAUCUGCUUUCUCCCCACAAGUGCGUUUAUACGGAGCCUGAAAUUCUAGCCCGGAAAGGGCCCGUUCUGUCCAAGUUCAUCCACGGGCCCCCACCUGCUUUCCUUACUCCUCUCUUUUCCACCGUCUGACUUAUUUACUUGGUGAUUGAAACGACUCCUUUCCCUUGGUGGUAUCAAUAUUAACAAACUCCCUGAAAAAGCAGGAGAGCUGAUCAGAUACAACUCAUUUCAAUUUCAAAUGAGUCAGAGACGGGGGGAGAGAGAUCUCAGUUGUGAAAUCCUGGUUCCCCCCCACCCCUCUUUUAUUAUUAGAAGAACUAACUUCUACAAUCUUUCCCGAAGUGGAGGAGAGAAACACACCUUAAAACGCUUCCCAAGUGGCAAAUCUGCAAAGCGGUCAUCGGAGUAUCUCUGCCUCCUUCUCUCCCUCCCAGUACUGUUUAGUACAGUAAGGAUUUUGAUCAAAAGACAAACGAAGCUAUCAGUUGGGGCGGAUGUUGAAAAAUGAAGAUAAUAACGCGGGCUUCGGAUGUCAUUAUUUUGCACUGAAUAUUUAAAGACAUCCUUCGGCAGAGAUGGAUCUACUCAGAGCUGGUUAUCAGCCACGUCCGUCCCUCGUAGAGAUCUCGAGUUUUUGUCAAUUGCAGCAACCGACAGAGAAACUUAGGCACCGUCGUUCUCUGGAUAACACUCCAGGAACAGACAAUACGCACCGAAAGCCAUUUACACACAAGUCCAGUUGAUUUUCUGAGACCGGAUUUGUCACUGCCCGAGGUUUAGAGCCUGCUUCCCAAGCGCUUUAAUCUAGUUCUGCGCUGGAAAUUAAUUCGGACUUGCAUACUCAUUAAGGCAGAGUUUUUGUUCUUGCUACUGUUAAUAGGCCAGCUCUGCAUACUUGUCUCCCUUCCUUGCUCAAAAGUUCUCUCCCGUAGAUGCUGCGGUUCAGAUUUCCAGGAUGCCUAAUAUGAUAUAAUUUUUUAUUAUUAUUACCCAUCAUUAAAAUAAGAAAUGUGCUUAAGGCAAAUUCAAGUGGACAAUCAGCUUUUGGAGGAAAGUGAAGAACUUAGUUUUCAUUUCUCUUUUUUUUUUUUUCAUUAGGGAAAGGAAGAAAGGGGGGAAAAGAAAAGAAAAAGAUUAAAACGAGAGAGAGAUUAAAACCGGAAGGGAGAAAGAAAGAAAGAGAAAGAGAAAGAUUAAAACAGGAAGGGGAGAAGGAAGGAAAAGAAAGAGAGGAAGGAAGGAAGGAAGGAAAGAAAGAUUAAAACAGGAAGGGGGAAAGGAAGGGAAAGAAAGAAAGAAAGAAAGAUUAAAACAGGAAGGGGAAAAGGAAGAGAAAGAAAAAGAAAGAAAGAAAGAUUGAUUAAAACAGGAGGGUGAAAGGAAGAAAAAAGAAAGAGAGAAAGAAAGAAAGAUUGAUUAAAACAGGAGGGUGAAAGGAAGGAAAAAGAAAGAAAGAAAGAAAGAAAGAAAGAAAGAAAGAAAGAAAGAAAGAAAGAAAGAAAGCCUCCCGUUUAAAGUAAGAUGAUACUCCUGUGUGCACUUACUUGGGAGAAAUCCCCCUUGCAUUUCCUGCGACUAACUUCUGAGUAAACACGCCUUGGAUCCGA